CCCUUGGAGCGUUAUACCAAACAAAAGUAGUUAGUUGAGUUAUUUUAACGACAAAAUUGGACGUGUUGAAUAGGGAA
rnacentral:ncRNA from 1 species